ensembl:lncRNA
AUUUUCAAGCCAUUGUGAACCAGUCAUGGUAGAAAGGAGAACGAAGACACCUUCAAGCCCUGUUCACUGACAUACUGCACAUGCAUUUGUGGUAUACUGAACUUCAAUCCUGUCUUAACGCCAGCAUGGAAGUGUGUCAGUCACCAAAUGAAGAGCAAAACAAGUUUAUGGAGAGUCCAUCUGAAUAGGCUUCAUGUUAUUUUAACCAGACAGCUCAGCGAAACCGGCUGAAGUCUGAGAGCUGAAGAGCUGUCUGUGCAGGGCUGAGGAUGCUGCCUGGGGCCAGCAAGAUGCUUUGAGGUGAAUUGGAAAUACAGCUAUGGUUUUGGAGAGGACCCAUUUGAAUGGCAGUAGUUUGUCUGCAGGAAGGAAACGGGCCUGGCUUUGGAAAAAGGAAUUUUCUCUUUGAUAAUCUGAGAACUGAAGAGUUGACUUGGUGCCAUCAGCAGCUCCUUGGAGGCAAAGGAAGGCUUCCAUCUAUGGAAAAUUGCAGUGCACUAGCACAUGGUCUCUGGGGAUCAAGCCUGAAUGCAGUCAUUUUCCUUCACUUUUGCACGCAAAAUCUCUUACUGUAACCACAUGUGGACAUCAUGCUGCUUUGUUCUGUCCUGCUCCAGCCAGCCGAGUCCUUUCCUGAUCUGUGUCACAGAGCUUUGCACCUCUCUACAAAGGAGAUUCAGUAUCUCAUAUCCUUUUUCAUAUUUUCCCUGUCUUUUUUUUUUCUUUUUUUCUGCCCAUAUCACAAAGAACCAUCACAUCUGAGACAGGUGUUUGCUCCCUUUUGGAAAUCACCGCUGAUGUUUAAUCCAAGCCAUCUGCAUCCAUCUCCAGCUAUUGCAGACAUGCAGUGAGAUGUCUUUAGCAACUGCUGUGUCCUGGGUUGCUAUGAAUGGACUUCACAUGCCCUUGCAGCAAUGUUGAUGCUCCUCCUAUUCAAGCAUGUGGUCAGUUGUUUUGGUUGGCUCCAUCUCCUCGGAUAGAUUUCCAUGAGAAGAGGGGCUGAUGAAUCCACUGAUUUAACUCCGUCUUUGAUGGAUGAUAACAGAGUCAUUUUCUGGCCCAACAGAGUGUAAAAAUGAAAAUAAAUGAGAUAAUCUUCCGUGAAGUCUAAGCUAUAACCACUAAUGCCCAAGUCUCUUCCAUCAGAACUCCUGCACAGAGCCAGUGGAGUAAUGCUAGACCUUAAAGACAGAUUUUCCUGCACACCGAGGACUUGUCAAGCUCUGGAGUCUGACUGCAUUUCUCAGGAUCCACCUGACCUUCUUGCUCUCCCGAGGUGAAUAAGAAUAUAAGAAAUAAGAAAUGAAGAAUAAACCACUUCUGGUUUCUGAAGAGUUCUGCCUGAAAUCUUGGUUUUGCAUCCCCUUCCAUGGCUCCUCUGGACCUGAGAGUCGCUGCUUCGGUGGAGAGGACAACGCAUCGCUGUCAGCCCCUGCAGUGCCCUUUGGGAGCGUUCACAAUGCUGCUUUGCUCUUUGAUCCCUGCAGGAUCCACCUGAGAGCAUUUUUAUGCGUUCACCAACAUACCAACUCUUAGUGUUUGUGUGUUAGCUGCAGACUUAACACAUACAAGUAAAACUUGGUAGCUGAGGACACCAGUUGAAUUACUUAAAUUGAUGUCAUGG